rnacentral:rRNA from 1 species
UCCCCUCUACCAGAACCUCAUCCCUCCUUCCAAAAGCGAAUAGCACAGAGCACAUCGCCAUGGAUUCCUCUGCUGCUGCACUGCCCGUCUCAUCCCGCUCAUGUGCUGAUUCCGAAGGCAUCGAAUCGACUGCUCUGGCGGUUGCAGAUAGAGUUGUGAAGGGAGGGCACCGGGGUGUUGCUACGGGAGACGGGCGAGCGGCGACCGGGAUGUUGCGUCCACGGUGGUGGAGGGGUCAAGCUGCGAGUGCGCCGCCCGUCUGCGUCCAGUUCCGGAACCAGCGAGUUUCAGUGCUACCACCGGCUCCGCCGGGUGCUGGAACCAGCAAGUUUUGAUGCUACCACCUGCUCCGCCAAGUGCUGGAACCAGCGAUCUCCGGUGCUGCUAUCGGUUAUGUCCGGUGCUGGAACUAGCACGCCGGCGAGUUUCGACCGAUGCUGGAACCAGACGCCGUCGAGAACUGCUGGGACCAGCAAUAAAUUUUGCUGGAACUGGUAGGAAGUUUUGUUGCGCACAGGCAAAGAUUGUUUUUGGCUGGUGAUCCCACGCCAAGAUGCUGGUGAACCAUAGUUUAUUUUUGCUGGAACCUGUGUACCACUUUGCUACUACCGUGGUUGUGUUUUGCUGGAACCAGCCCCGAUUGUUGCUACCACCGUAUUUGGUUUUUGCUGGAACCAGGCUCCUACUACCUUCUUUAGAUUUUGC